UGGGGAAUCUUGCGCAAUGGGCGAAAGCCUGACGCAGCCAUGCCGCGUGAAUGAUGAAGGUCUUAGGAUUGUAAAAUUCUUUCACCGGGGACGAUAAUGACGGUACCCGGAGAAGAAGCCCCGGCUAACUUCGUGCCAGCAGCCGCGGUAAUACGAAGGGGGCUAGCGUUGUUCGGAUUUACUGGGCGUAAAGCGCACGUAGGCGGACUAUUAAGUCAGGGGUGAAAUCCCGGGGCUCAACCCCGGAACUGCCUUUGAUACUGGUAGUCUUGAGUUCGAGAGAGGUGAGUGGAAUUCCGAGUGUAGAGGUGAAAUUCGUAGAUAUUCGGGGGAACACCAGUGGCGAAGGCGGCUCACUGGCUCGUUAAUGACGCUGAGGUGCGAAAGCGUGGGGAGCAAACAGG
rnacentral:rRNA from 1 species